GAUGAACGCUGGCGGCGUGCCUAACACAUGCAAGUCGAGCGGGGUUUUAUUAGAGCUUGCUUUAAUAAAACCAAGCGGCGGACGGGUGAGUAACGCGUGGGUAACCUGCCCUAUACACAGGGAUAACAUUAAGAAAUUGAUGCUAAUACCAGAUAAGCUAACAGCUAGGCAUCUAGUAGUUAGAAAAACUGAGGUGGUAUAGGAGGGGCCCGCGUCUGAUUAGCUAGUUGGUGGGAUAAAGGCCUACCAAGGCGACGAUCAGUAGCCGACCUGAGAGGGUGAUCGGCCACAUUGGAACUGAGACACGGUCCAAACUCCUACGGGAGGCAGCAGUGGGGAAUAUUGCACAAUGGGGGAAACCCUGAUGCAGCAACGCCGCGUGAAGGAAGAAGUAUUUCGGUAUGUAAACUUCUAUCGAUAGGGAAGAAAGAAAUGACGGUACCUAAAUAAGAAGCACCGGCUAAAUACGUGCCAGCAGCCGCGGUAAUGCGUAUGGUGCAAGCGUUAUCCGGAUUUACUGGGUGUAAAGGGUGAGUAGGCGGUUAAGCAAGUCAUAUGUGAAAUUUUGGGGCUCAACCUCAGAGCUGCAUAAGAAACUGUUUGACUAGAGUACAGGAGAGGUAAGCGGAAUUCCUAGUGUAGCGGUGAAAUGCGUAGAUAUUAGGAAGAACACCGGUGGCGAAGGCGGCUUACUGGACUGAAACUGACGCUGAGUCACGAAAGCGUGGGGAGCGAACAGGAUUAGAUACCCUGGUAGUCCACGCCGUAAACGAUGAGUGCUAGGUGUUGGGGAGAGAUUCUCGGUGCCGCAGCAAACGCAAUAAGCACUCCACCUGGGGAGUACGACCGCAAGGUUGAAACUCAAAGGAAUUGACGGGGACCCGCACAAGCGGUGGAGCAUGUGGUUUAAUUCGAAGCAACGCGAAGAACCUUACCUAAACUUGACAUACCAGUGACAGAUUAUGUAAUGUAAUUUUCCUUCGGGACAAUGGAUACAGGUGGUGCAUGGUUGUCGUCAGCUCGUGUCGUGAGAUGUUGGGUUAAGUCCCGCAACGAGCGCAACCCCUAUACUUAGUAGCCAGCAUUAAGGAUGGGCACUCUAGGUAGACUGCCGUGGAUAACACGGAGGAAGGUGGGGAUGACGUCAAAUCAUCAUGCCCCUUAUGUUUAGGGCUACACACGUGCUACAAUGGCUGUAACAAAGUGAGGCGAGAUAGUGAUAUGGAGCAAAGCACAGAAAAACAGUCCCAGUUCGGAUUGUAGUCUGCAACUCGACUACAUGAAGAUGGAAUCGCUAGUAAUCGCGAAUCAGAAUGUCGCGGUGAAAUACGUUCCCGGGUUC
rnacentral:rRNA from 1 species